GGGCUAUUAGCUCAGGUGGUUAGAGCACACCCCUGAUAAGGGUGAGGUCCCUGGUUCAAAUCCAGGAUAGCCCA
rnacentral:tRNA from 1 species